ensembl:lncRNA TEX41 testis expressed 41
GUAAACCUCAGGUUCUCCUCCUGCCUUUUGCUAAGUAUAUGUCUUGAUGACAAGCCUUCUGCUGAUGAGCUGUGUUUCUGGACCGAUCAUGGUAGAAGUCAAUUAACGUGUCCCUCACUUGGGGUUUCUCAAGGCUGCACUGAUGAGGAAACUGAAACAGAAAAUCCAGAGUAAAUUCCACCAGGCCACACAGCAAGGUCUGAUAGAGCCAGGAGAGACUUUAUGAAAUCCAGACUCUCACACUAAUGCUCUAUCAGCUAGACCUCCAUGUGAGUCUCCCCAAUUUUUACAGGUUGCAGUAACUGGCAAGGAAGAGGUGUGCCUCUCAGCUGUUCACAAUGCAGAAUCUUGAAAAGGUCAACAUAGUAGCAGUAUGACAGGCCAUGUGCACACAAUCCCCUAUCUCAUUGCUGGUGUUGCUAAAGAGCAUCUGGGGUAAGGAAACAUGCAUCCGGUCCAUCCGUCAAGAGUCCAUGAGAAAGCCAACAAUGUUUGCACCUGCAGGAUGAAUUACAUCUUUGGAACUGAAAAUGAAAGAACCAAAAUAGAUAUCAACAGAUAAUUAAAGGAACGUUUGGAAGUUUUUUACCUCAUGCAAACCUCAAACUCUGAACCACUACUGCCUAAAGGAAAUAAAUACUGUGUUAUGACUUUGAAAAAGUGAAGUGGCCAUGUUAGGAGGCCCAGAU